rnacentral:rRNA from 1 species
AACGUAGGAGACAAACGUUAUCCGGAGUUACUGGGCGUAAAGGGCGUGUAGGCGGUCUGUUAAGUCUGGCGUGAAAGCUCUCGGCUAAACCGGGAGAGGUCGUUGGAUACUGGCAGACUAGAGGACGGUAGAGGCGUGUGGAAUUCCGGGUGUAGUGGUGAAAUGCGUAGAGAUCCGGAGGAACACCAGUGGCGAAGGCGACACGCUGGGCCGUACCUGACGCUGAGACGCGAAAGCUAGGGGAGCGAACAGG